rnacentral:lncRNA from 1 species
UUGGCUGGCCCUAGUCUCACUUCUUCAACAUUGACAUCCUCAAAUUGUAGCUGGAUAGGUUGUUGAUGUUCUACUCUGACCUCCCUAAUUAACACCUCCAAUUCAUUCUCUUCUUGGCUACUAUCCCUAAUAUUGGCUUGUUGAGCAUUUACAACUCCAAUCACUUGACUCAAUUGAGCCUCCAACUUGCGAAUAGUUGCCUCUUGCCUUUCUAUGUGCAAUUGUUUCUCAUUGUUUUGUUCCAGAAGACAUUUUAGCAUAUCUUUAAUCUCCUUCAGGUCUGUAUUUCCAGGUUCUUUAUUCCUAUUAACUUCACAAGAAAAGCUAUAACCAACAUAGUAUGGAGUUAGGGAAAAAUAAAAAUAUAAUCACAACCAUGAAGGUGACCAUUGUUACUACCAUACACAUCACACAUGUCACGGCCCGGAUUUCCCACUAUCGGGAGUCGUGAUGGCGCCUACUAGUAGGAGCUAGGCGCCAAAUAUCAAAUACUUCUUUAGCGAACAUCAACAAUAUUAACGAUAUUAAAACACUUAACAAUAAAGCGGAAGUCUCAAAUAUAAUUUACUAAAAGAAAUGCGGAAGUAAACAAAUCCUUUACCCAAUACUGGUAUCACAUUACUCACAAACUUAUAGGAUUACUAAAUACAAUUGUCUGAAAGAAAUCAUAACGGUCUCUUUCAAUACAAGAGCUAACAAACUGAACAAGGAUAGAAGAGACUCUGGGCCUGCGGACGUUAGCAAGGCUACCUCAAGAGUCCCUGGACUGAAGGUCUGCUCCCGAUCUAAUACUGUUGCGGUCCGAAAGCUGCAUCCUGAUCUGUGCAAAAGAAAUGCACAAAGUGUAGCAUCAGCACAACCGAACCUAUGUGUUGGUAAGUGCCUGGCCUAAUACCGGCGAAAUAGUGACGAGGCUAGACAGGACCUACCACAAUUAACCUGUGAAAAUAUAAUAUACAAGUGCGAGACUGGUGAGUGCUUGGCCUAACCUCGGCGAGGUAGUGACGAGGCUAGACAGGACCUACCACAAAUAACCUAUAAAGAUAUAUGUGCAAUAACAGGAAAUACGCUAAUCUAAACAAUUAGAGGGGGAGGGGAGCAUGCUGUGGGGUACGAAAGUAUAAACAUAGAGAUCAUCGAUAAAUAAAUGAAAAUGAACAUUAACAACUGAUAAGGAAAACACAGAAAGUCUCUACAUACGAAAACAAUACACUCAGUCAACACUUUGUUGCGACGCGCAACCCGAUCCUCAACAACCAAUACCGUUGCGGCAUGUAACCCGAUCCUUAAUAUUCAAUACUGUUGCGGCGUGUAAACCGAUCCUCAAUAUUCAUCAACACCAUUGCGGUGUGCAACCCGAUCCUCAACAUUUUACACCAGGAACUCACCCAAACAACGACCGAAACUCAAGUGUGAGGGGAGUAACAACAAUUAGAAGAAAUCCCGGCAAGGGAAUACAACUAACAAUUCAAUUAUCCCGGCAAGGGAAAAUACAAUAAAUACUUACGUCCCGGCAAAGGAAUACUCACUACACAUUCCUCUUUUAAUCGCCUAUUUCUCGAGUAACAAUUUCUAGUCCAAACCAAUGCUCCAAAUGACAAACCAAUCACAAAAAUUCCUCAACUAUUCACUUUAUAUUAUAGUUGAUAACCCAAGCAAGAAAGAUGUAUCAUUAAAUCCGAAUCCAACACAUAUAAGACUCACAGUCAUGCUAGACUCAGGUGCAUAGAUAACUGUCACCAUGCCUAUACACCGUACUUCACAUUUAGAAAGUAGCGAAUAAUACCCGAAUCCUAAUCCCUCAAGCCAAAGUUAGAACAAACACUUACCUCGGUCCGAAAAUAGCAAUCAAA